AGAAAAUAUUCAGUGGGAAGCAAACACCACAUCUGACGUGGUGUGCAUGUCUCAUUUAUUGGUUGACACCUGAUCACUAAAAUCUCAAUCAGUCAAAUUUUAGUUUAGGUUUUAAAUGGCUCACAAAAUUUUAGUUUCCCAGAGAAAGUUCAAAUUUUUAAUUUCCCAUGAUAGUCUCUCGUCAAAAGUAGCUGUCAAGGAUUUCACCUCUUCCUCCUAAACCAAAUCCAGACCAAGAUUGAUUCUGCCACCGGUUUUCUGCUCUGACUAGGAUCGAUCUACAUGGAUUCAAGAGAUUUAUCUUUCUAGCUGCAUAUUUGGAUCUUGACAUCUUCGCCAUCGCUAUCAUCUUCCUCAACUCGACGUCGAUAUCGACUCCUCCUCUGUCGAAGGUGUCGAGGUUCUACAAUUGCAGGUUUUGAACCCUAAAUCCUUAUAUAAGCAUGAAUUCAUUGACUCUGUUGGGCACUGCAGUAGCACAACACAUAGAGUCCUCAUAAUAUUUAAUUUCACAUAAGCACAUAGGUUUUGGGUAGCACAUAUAGUACUUGUAAUUUUUGAUAUUUGGAGAUUUGUUCUUGUUGUUGGUUGGGUCCUUGUAAUUUUUGGCUUCCCUUGUACAUUUACUUGAAUCAUUGAGAGCAAUAUUUGGAGAUUUGUUCCUACUGUUGGUUGAGUCCUUUUAAUUUUUGGUUUCCCUUGUACAUUUACUUGAAUCAAUGAGAACAAUAUUUGAUCAUAUUAGGUGUAUAUGAUCAAGUCAGCUGCUUCAUC